GACUUGGACUUGGGGUUACACCAUCAAAAGUAGAUGGAAAUGUACAAAGCAGUGAGAAAGUGAUAGAACUUGAGAGCAAAUUACAAACUCAAUCAGUAAGGAUGGAAGCACUCGAAGAAAAGGUUGAAGCACUUCUGAAGUUAUCUCAGGUUAUACUUUUCUAUUACAUAGAAUAUGAUAUCGUGCGUAGCUUAAUAUAUCUUAUCAUUUUAAUAAGUUUUAAGUUUUUGUAUUAUUUUACAGAAUGAAAAUAAAAAUGUGGACGACAUGAGUUCACGUGCUUUUACUCCACAGGUUUUUGUAUCAUAUAUUAUUUAUUAUUUGUUCAAUAUAAAUUCAGAUUAUAUCAUACUAAUUUUAAAAAUAUUUUUAUUUUAUUGCGAAUUUCUAGUCUCAACAAGCAAGUGGUAU
rnacentral:lncRNA from 1 species